UCCUUUGUUGCCAGCGGUUAGGCCGGGAACUCAAAGGAGACUGCCAGUGAUAAACUGGAGGAAGGUGGGGAUGACGUCAAGUCAUCAUGGCCCUUACGACCAGGGCUACACACGUGCUACAAUGGCAUAUACAAAGAGAAGCGACCUCGCGAGAGCAAGCGGACCUCAUAAAGUAUGUCGUAGUCCGGAUUGGAGUCUGCAACUCGACUCCAUGAAGUCGGAAUCGCUAGUAAUCGUAGAUCAGAAUGCUACGGUGAAUACGUUCCCGGGCCUUGUACACACCGCCCGUCACACCAUGGGAGUGGGUUGCAAAAGAAGUAGGUAGCUUAACCUUCGGGAGGGCGCUUACCACUUUGUGAUUCAUGACUGGGGUGAAGUCGUAACAAGGUAACCGUAGGGGAACCUGCGGUUGGAUCACCUCCUU
rnacentral:rRNA from 1 species